AGGACGACGCUGGCGGCGUGGAUUAGGCAUGCAAGUCGAACGGUAGGAUCCUUUCGGGGAUCUGAGAGUGGCGAACGGGUGAGUAACACGUAGGUGAUCUACCCUCAAGACGGGGACAACCCAGGGAAACUUGGGCUAAUACCGGAUGUGAGCUAUCGCGAGAUAGUUUGAAAGGUGGCUUCGGCUGCCGCUUGAGGAUGAGCCUGCGUCCUAUUAGCUAGUUGGUGAGGUAACGGCUCACCGAGGCAGUGAUAGGUAGGCGGCCUUAACGGGUGGUCGCCCACACUGGGAUUGAGAUACGGCCCAGACUCCUACGGGAGGCAGCAGUCGAGAAUAGUCUACAAUGGUCGAAAGACUGAUAGUGCGACGCCGCGUGAACGAAGAAGCCCUUCGGGGUGUAAAGUUCUUUUAUAUGUGAGCAGUGACACCCAUAUUAAUAGUAUGGGUGUAGAGAUAUUAGCAUAUGAAUAAGCAACGGCUAACUCCGUG
rnacentral:rRNA from 1 species